CUUACCAGCACAUUUAGGAAAAGGGUUGCUCCAUUCUCCAUUUGACUGACAGGUGAUUUUGUACUGUCCUUGUAAUGUAGAUCCACUCCCAACACAUGAAAGAGUUAUUUUUUGUUCUGGUCUGAUUGAAACCUCGAAUUCCAAUGUGGUUUAGCAUAACAAUCACAUUUUUGUUAUAUGGCAUAGGUCUUCAACCCUGUUCCUGGGGACCCACUGUCCUGCAUAGUUUAUUUCCAACCUGCUUCAGCACACCUGGCCUGUGACUUUUCAAGUGAUCUUGAAGACCUUGAUUAGCUGAUUCAGGUGUGUUUGAUUAGGGUUGGAGAUGAACUCUGCAGGACAGUGGGUCCCCAGGAACAGGGGUGAAGACCUAUGUUAUAUGGUAUUGCGCAUGCAGCAUUACAACUAGGAAAACUGGGUUAAAGAGAUAAGGAAAAAAA